rnacentral:lncRNA from 12 species
CUUAAACUAUUUUAAUUUGGGGCUACUAUCAACUUUUUCUUUGUUUCCCUUCCAGAUUGAAAUUCUGCUCUUCUGUGUUCACGUUCUUGGCAGUCUCUGGCUUACCUACUCACUACACGUUUCCUCUCAUUUGCUGGCUUAUCACGUUAGCCCAUUUUCAGUAUGAUAACUUUAGUGACUCUGAAGAUGACCUUGGAGGUAAUACCAACCUACAGUUGCAUGUUUUAAAAGUCUAUUUAAAGAAGGGAGACUCUGCAACCUGGCAAUAUACAGUUUUAACAAGCACAUCAGAUGAUUCUGCUGGAGAUGAUCCCCAGACCACAUCUUGAGAAGCACUAAGACUUUAUUCACCUGAAAUGUAUCUGCAAACUUUCCACUAUGAACUUGCAAUUAUCCUUGAUUACCAGGGCCCCAGGUAAUAUAAAUCUGUUAAUAAUUCAGAAUUCUCCUUUUAGCUAUCAAUUCUAACAACUUCCCAAAUCUCUACAUCCUGACAGAAUUUCUUCACUUGAACAAUGAAGACAAGCAUCAAUUGGAUAAUCAAUCCAAGUUCACUACUGAGAUCAAGUUAGAAUUCUUUAGGUGUUAAAGUUUCAAGGUCACAAAAAUUUGAAAAGCAAAAAUCAGUUUAUUGAAACGA